GGAGCAGCAGCAGCAGCAGCAGCUGGAAUAAAGCGUGGACUUUGGUCAACUGAUAGCUUACCAUUUUUAUGUUGCACAUCCGCAGCCACACCUUGAUCAUGUUUCCAGUUCUGUGGUCGAUUUUUCAGAUUCCUUUUGUCCUUCCUGUUUCCUGGUUUCUGGUCAUUCAUGACGUCCCUCUUUUUCAUUUUUAGCAUUCUCCUGUGUUCAGCUUCCUUCUCAUCAUCAGAAAAUUCAUCCUCAGACGCCUCUUCAUCAUUUUCACCAGAUGCAUCAUACCCUUUCUUG
rnacentral:misc_RNA from 1 species